rnacentral:rRNA from 1 species
AUUGAACGCUGGCGGCAUGCCUUACACAUGCAAGUCGAACGGCAGCGCGGGAGCAAUCCUGGCGGCGAGUGGCGAACGGGUGAGUAAUAUAUCGGAACGUGCCCAGUAGUGGGGGAUAGCCCGGCGAAAGCCGGAUUAAUACCGCAUGAGACCUGAGGGUGAAAGCGGGGGAUCGCAAGACCUCGCGCUAUUGGAGCGGCCGAUAUCAGAUUAGCUAGUUGGUGGGGUAAAGGCCUACCAAGGCAACGAUCUGUAGUUGGUCUGAGAGGACGACCAGCCACACUGGGACUGAGACACGGCCCAGACUCCUACGGGAGGCAGCAGUGGGGAAUUUUGGACAAUGGGCGCAAGCCUGAUCCAGCCAUGCCGCGUGUGUGAAGAAGGCC